UACAAAAAGAAGAAUGCCAAAUGCCCUCCGUCUCCUGACAGCAGAUCUGAGGCCUCUGAGAAACUGAAUCCAGACUCUCAGUGAUGAACACAGCAGCCUGCACACAGUGAGGUGCUUCAUAUGGGACAUGAACUAUUCACACCUGUUGUUGAACAAAGCCGCCCUAAACUAUGUGCAGAAGACCCGUCUGUGAUCCUUUAUCCGCUGUGACACCUCUGUGACCGCAUUCAGAAUUAUGAGCUUUGUAGUAUUUUAAAAUGUAACAUUACCUUCUCUUGUGGACCAGCCUCAUCUGAGCCUGUGUACAGUCAGAAGACACAAAGUCAUGUACAGAAAUCAUACAUUUAAAUAUCUUAAUGUAAUUCUUUACAUAGUGUACAGUGUUUAGUCCAGACAAUUAUUAACUUCAGAAAUGAUUAUUAUUACCGUAGCCAAGGCAUUCUUUCUGGAUUAUUUGUUACCUGAGCUGGUGAAGGUCCAAGACACAAACUUGAUAAGACCGUAAAGCACCAGCGCUACACCGACCAUUGCCAUUGAGUCCUCAAUGGAGGGAGUACUGAAACCUGAGAAGACAAAAGAACAGAAUUCAAGUCUUAAUUGAUUCCCAUUUAAAUGACUUGUAUCGUUGUUAUCAAGCUUAAUGAAAAUAAUUCAUUUAACCUUCAACAAUCAACCUUUAAGAGUGACAUAUUCCACCAGAGCCAUCAUAUAUAUUAGGUGUGUUAAAAUAAUCUUAUCUCCAUUGAAAUGUUAUUUUUAAAGAGGAUAAGCUUUGCCAUUCAUGAGUAUGUUUUUACCAAGCUGCUAUGCUGAAGUGCCAAAAACGGCAACUUGAGGCUGGCCCCAAAAGGGAGUCGAUCCCAAUAGACCCCCAUGUUAAAAUGCCCAACUUUACACCAGAAAUAAACAUGUUUACAACCUGGUACAAAAACGGUGUUCAUUUUUAUAUAACGCACCUGUUUGAAUUAUAUAAAGCCUUAAAGUUAUGCAUAAUUAAGGGCGUGGCAGCUUUGAGCCACAGGUGUGUACCAUCACAGGUGGCUAUCCGCUAGCUGUCUGCUGCGUCACCGCCUCAUCUCCAUCAACGAUCCACCUCUUUACCUAAUUUUGGAUUAGCCGGGAGUUAGGCCGUGUUAUCACGGCGAAGAUGGCGAUGGCUGAAGCCACUCACUUUGAGCUUCACAACAGCUCUUCAGAAACCAAUAAAUGAAGACGUGGAGACUACGUUCAUAUUUAUGGUCUAUGGUUUUUUACUGGCCCACAGCAUAAAAUUACCGUAAUCUAGCUCAGUGAGCACCAGUCACUUUACAGCAUCUGUCAAAGUCAUAAAUGAUGACUUGAAAUGUAUAUCAUUAUAACCAAAAUCCCAAACAAUGGACUUACAUCACACUAUCAGUUUUACAUUUAUAUAUCUGCCUCUGCUAAUUCACCCAUUAAUAUCUUGGCAAUGUGCAGAAAAAUCCUUAUCUGGCCUCUGUCUUGUUAUGGAAUAAAAAGAUCAAAACCAUUGUCGCCAAAAGAGCUUCAUAAAUGUCUAAAACAACAAAAGUAUUCCACAUUACCAAUGACAUUGAGGGUUACGCUGGCCCGUCGUGUUCCUCCAAGAUGGACAGCCACACAGGUGACCUCCCCUCCUCUGCCCAGGUCCAGCUUCGUUGUGUCAAGCUCCAGCCGGGUGCUCUGGCUAUAGGUUCCAUCCCAGGCCUGCCUGUGGCCUGUUACGCUGCCUGAUCCCAGAGGCCUGGACUUCCCAUCGGUGCCUUUAAACUCCCAGCUCAGUUCCAGGGAGAGGGGGGCAAAGCCAGACGCCUCACACUGGACAGUCAAAGUCUGGCCGUGAACAGCGAGGGGCAGAGCGGACGGGUAAAUGGAGAGGGAUGGAGGUUCUAGGUCGAAGGAGGAACGAAUGGAAGAGCAAAGAAAAGAGGAACGACAAUAAGAGAAAGUUAAUCAAAAUAAUCUGGUUCCCAAUUAAAUCUGGGUUAUUCAGGACCUUACUAUGUGCUGUUAUAUUUUCUAACAGAAUCAUUUGUUUAUUUCAGUUAUUUGACAGCAGACACUAAACAAUUACAGGCUUCAUGUGACUGCCAACAUUGACAGUCACUGAUUAAUAGUUAGAGAUAGAACUUUCUUUGAGAGCAGAGGCCAAGGGUUAGAAGAAUAAUCUCACAAUUAACAUUUUUAAGCAUGCAGGUAUGUUUUAAAACACACAACAAGAAGUACAAUCUUUUCCCUCACCUACAACCUCAAGCUCCACCGCCACCUGAGCCACAAGGUACGGCAGAUACACCGUACAAAUAUACAUCCCGGAGUGGCGCACUUUAGCCUCCUGCAGGAUCAGAGACGCAUUUCCUUUCCUGUGCAAACCCUCGAAGUCCAGUGUGGCCCCUUCCUCUUGUGUAUCAGCCAAGCGGUCCGUUUUCCCGUCGUAGGCCAGAACCAAACGUCCGUCGCCUCUGAAUUGGUAGCGCCACUCUACGGCAAACCCCGACCCGGAUAGAGGUGAAGGGGGGUAGGCCCAGAAGCCACAAUCCAGUAGCACUGGUUCCCCGAGUCUGGACUGCACUGAGACGGUUUUACUGGUCACACUGAGGAUCACUGAGGAAACGGACAGUGAGGAGAAAAUAUUUUCUUUGACACAAUGUGGCAAAACAAGGAGGACGAGAAGCUUCGAUGGCCUGGCAGGGACAAAUGACAUAACAACCAUUGACCGCUCUUUCUUCCUUUGUGUGCCAAAAUUACAAAUCCUGCCAGAGCUGUGUGUCACACACCAACACAGAAACGAAACCUACCAGACUCAUCAGAUGAUUUCUCAGAAACAGUACAGAGGGAUGUGCUGUUUGUGCCCAGUGGAGGAGCUCUAACACUGUUACUGAGUCCUGAAAAGGCAACUAUCAUUAAUGCCACUGGCCUACAUUCAUAGCUGCACUUUAAACCUGGCUUAGUUUGGUGAUCUACCUCAUAUAUGAGGAAUAGAAACAGAGACAUAAGAAAGUUGUUAAUCAAGUUGCAUUCUGGGUUCAAUGUGAGUCACUGCCUCUGCCUGUUCGACGAUGAUUUAAUUGUUUUAAUAUGUUAUCUGGAGACUUUCAUUCCUGUGUUUAUAAAACAAUUAAAAGCCCCAAAUUAAAACACAUGUCUUCUUAUAUUCUUGAUCUACUGUAAAAUAAUAAAGCAUGUGAGUAAAGUGUAA